rnacentral:tRNA from 1 species
UGGAGCGAUGUCCGAGUGGUUGAAGGAGGCGGUCUUGAAAACCGUUGUGCCGCAAGGUACCGGGGGUUCGAAUCCCCCUUGCUCCGAC